UACGUAGGGACCAAGCGUUGUUCGGAUUUACUGGGCGUAAAGGGCGCGUAGGCGGCGCGGUAAGUCACUUGUGAAAUCUCUGAGCUUAACUCAGAACGGCCAAGUGAUACUGCAGUGCUAGAGUGUGGAAGGGGCAAUCGGAAUUCUUGGUGUAGCGGUGAAAUGCGUAGAUAUCAAGAGGAACACCUGAGGUGAAGACGGGUUGCUGGGCCAACACUGACGCUGAUGACGCGAAAGCCAGGGGAGCAAACGGG
rnacentral:rRNA from 1 species